CAGAGGGUGCAAACGUUGUUCGGAAUUACUGGGCGUAAAGCGCGUGUAGGCGGCUAUGUAAGUCGGGCGUGAAAUCCCACGGCUCAACCGUGGAAGUGCACCCGAAACUGCGUAGCUAGAGUCCUGGAGAGGAAGGUGGAAUGCUUGGUGUAGAGGUGAAAUUCGUAGAUAUCAAGCGGAACACCGGUGGCGAAGGCGGCCUUCUGGACAGUGACUGACGCUGAGACGCGAAAGCGUGGGGAGCAAACAGGAUUAGAUACCCUGGUAGUCCACGCCGUAAACGAUGAGUGCUAGGUGUCACGGGCUUUGACCCUCGUGGUGCCGAAGCUAACGCGUUAAGCACUCCGCCUGGGGAGUACGGCCGCAAGGCUA
rnacentral:rRNA from 1 species